GCGGACGGGUGAGUAAUGCCUAGGAAUCUGCCUGGUAGUGGGGGAUAACGUUCGGAAACGAACGCUAAUACCGCAUACGUCCUACGGGAGAAAGCAGGGGACCUUCGGGCCUUGCGCUAUCAGAUGAGCCUAGGUCGGAUUAGCUAGUUGGUGAGGUAAUGGCUCACCAAGGCGACGAUCCGUAACUGGUCUGAGAGGAUGAUCAGUCACACUGGAACUGAGACACGGUCCAGACUCCUACGGGAGGCAGCAGUGGGGAAUAUUGGACAAUGGGCGAAAGCCUGAUCCAGCCAUGCCGCGUGUGUGAAGAAGGUCUUCGGAUUGUAAAGCACUUUAAGUUGGGAGGAAGGGCAGUUACCUAAUACGUGAUUGU
rnacentral:rRNA from 1 species